rnacentral:rRNA from 1 species
AAUAAUACCCUGGUAGUCCACGCCGUAAAACGAUGAGUGCUAAGUGUUAGGGGGUUUCCACCCCUUAGUGCUGCAGCUAACGCAUUAAGCACUCCGCCUGGGGAGUACGGUCGCAAGACUGAAACUCAAAGGAAUUGACGGGGGCCCGCACAAGCGGUGGAGCAUGUGGUUUAAUUCGAAGCAACGCGAAGAACCUUACCAGGUCUUGACAUCCCGAUGACCGCUCUAGAGAUAGAGCUUUCCCUUCGGGGACAGCGGUGACAGGUGGUGCAUGGUUGUCGUCAGCUCGUGUCGUGAGAUGUUGGGUUAAGUCCCGCAACGAGCGCAACCCUUGUUCUUAGUUGCCAUCAUUCAGUUGGGCACUCUAAGGAGACUGCCGCAGACAAUGCGGAGGAAGGUGGGGAUGACGUCAAAUCAUCAUGCCCCUUAUGACCUGGGCUACACACGUGCUACAAUGGACGGUACAAGCGGUUGCGAAGUCGCGAGACGGAGCUAAUCCGAGAAAACCGUUCUCAGUUCGGAUUGC